GACCCCACUCAUUAGCUAUUGAGCGAGAAACCACAAAGGCAAGGAGGGAAAACGAAGCCAGUUCCAUUUGCUUUGGGUAGAAUCAUCGAGCCAACGCAAUGAAUCCAAUGCAUUUGGGUUAGUAAGAUGGUGGAGACGGAAGCAGCUGUGGCGGGUUGGCUGCAAUAUGUUGAAAUAGCUAGCUAUUAUAUUUUAAAAAAAAUAUGUCAUAUUUUUUAGUAUGUAAAAUGCUAGUUAAAGAUUAUAUAUAUGAUAUUAUUAUUAUGCAA